UUUAUUUUUCUUUUCUUGUGUGGCAUGGCUUUAGGAGGAUUAUUUACAUAUCAUUCCUCUAGCAUGUAUUAACACAAAUAUUAUUAUUGACCGGCCUCAGAUAGUUGUGACUUCUACAUAAGUCCAAUUACGAUUGCUUAACAUAGCGCUAAAUUUAUCCCAAAGGCAAUGGCAUUUUUAUAAGUGAGGUUGUAAGUGUCUUGUUCCUCAUGGUAUUGUGUGAAAAUGUUGCUCAUUUUCCAUUUGUGGUAGCUAGU
rnacentral:lncRNA from 1 species